rnacentral:lncRNA from 1 species
GUUUUGGAGAUAAGAGCCGUACUUGGUGGCGGAGAGGUGCAUCUUGAUGUCGUCGAGGUUUUCACACUGGCAGAGAUUGUUGUAAUCGGCGGUGGUGAGAAGACCAGCACGGUGGCCUCUCACGAUCGCCUCCAGGUAUCCGCCGUGGAUGUUGAACGUGAGCGCCUCGAAUCCGUACAUCCUUCUCUUCCGGAGAUAUUUCAGAUCUCGGAGAUUGAUGGUGAAGAGAUCUGAAGGAAAAAAGAUUGAAGCAGAGAGACAGAGAGAUCGACGUGGGGGAAGAUAGCUUUGAAUUUGAUUGGUUGGUUUGCAAUCUCGGCCUUUGGCGCGUCGAAUUACGAUAUUAUCCUUAAACCGGUCUGAUAAACCAAAGAAAUUGGAGAUUGCUUUGGGUUUAGUUUUGGUUUGGUAGCAUGCAGGUUUGGUUUGAACAGUUAAUUCGAUUCGGUAGUUCGGUUUAUGGUUAGUUUGGUUCGACGAAAUAAUGCCAAAUCAAACCCAAACGAAAAGCUGAUUUGGUUCAAUGUUCGGUUAGUUUGUUUUAUGGAAAUUAUGAAGAAAUUAAUUUAAGUUUUUUGGUUUCAGCAAACUUCAGACAGAUCACAAGAUCAACAAUAACCAAAAAAAAAGUUUUGAUUUUUUCUGUUACCGAACUCAUAAAACUUUAUCAAACUUCAAGACAGUCACAAGAUUAACAAUAGCAAAAUAAAGUUCUGAUUUUUCUAUUACCAAACUCAUAUAUUUGAUCAAAAUUCAGACAGAAGACAAGCUCAACAAUAACAAAAAAAAAACAAGUUAAGAUUUUUCUAUUACCAAACUGAUAGAUUUGAUCAAACUUCAGACAGAACACAAAAUCAUCAUCAUCAACAACAACAACAAAAGCUUCGUACGAUGGUCAAAAUAUACGAAGCUAGGAUACCUUGAUGACGCUCUUGAGGUGCUUGACGAGCUCGGAGUCCGUUGUGGGUUCAUGAGAGUGGUCUAAUCUUCCAACAACAAUCAGACUCUAAAACUUGUCAAAAUGAAUCACACUAAAAGAGUGAUGAGAUGAAACACGUACCAAGAGGAGUGAAGAGAGCAGAACGGUCGACGGAGAUGGUUGUUCCAGCGACGGCACUUGCCUCUUCGACAUGUUCAACGGUGCUAUUCUACAAGGGGAUGUAGCUCAGAUGGUAGAGCGCUCGCUUAGCAUGCGAGAGGUACGGGGAUCGAUACCCCGCAUCUCCAUUCUAUUUUUUCCUUCUUAUUCUUUUUGUUUACAAUUAUACUUCUGCUUUUCCUCCUUCCACAGUUUCAUGAUUUAUAUCAUCCACUAUUCGAAAUCUAUAAAUGGAUUUUUAUAUUUUAACCAAGUUAAAGAAAAUUUUCAAUGCAUAGCAUAUGACAUUACAUAAAGCUUUUACAAACAACAGGUUCACUUUACACUCUCGACCUUUACAUUUCUACACAAUACAAAGUCACAUAUCAAAAUCUUUAGACCUUCAGGACCAAAGAUAUCUUCUCGAGUUCCCACCAACUCAAAGGAACAAAAACAAGGAUCCCAACAUUCCAAAACUUCCCAAGCUUCACUUUCCACAGAACCAUCUCUUUUGCAGCAGGAAGCUAGAAGAUCCAACCGGUCCAGACAUGAAUAAGAACUAACUCCUAUACUCUGAGUCAUGUCUCUUAUUAUCCUUUAGCCUUUGGUGAUCCACGAGCAUACCGAUAAGGCGAAGAACCUUGAGGCAAGUUUAAGCUAGACAAACUCCUCAAAGGCACUCCAUUCCUCGACACAAACCCUCCACCUCCUUGUGUUCUUACACCGUUCUUCCCAACCGGCUGCAUAGUCUGGAAAGAAGAAGAUGAGCUAGCAAAGUCUUUAAGACUUGGUAACGGCUUUAACGCUUCGACCACUUCACUCAUCUUUGGUCUAGCUUUGCAGUCUCGGUUCAGACACUGCGCCGCUACUUGUGUGGCCUUCUGAGCACCCUUGAUCGAGUAGUGACCCUCUAAGCGAGGAUCUAACAGUCUGUAAAACCUCUUCUUGUCUAAAAGAUGAGGUCUCGCACCUCUCACGAUCGCCUCCAGGUAUCCGCCGUGGAUGUUGAACGUGAGCGCCUCGAAUCCGUACAUCCUUCUCUUCCGGAGAUAUUUCAGAUCUCGGAGAUUGAUGGUGAAGAGAUCUGAAGGAAAAAAGAUUGAAGCAGAGAGACAGAGAGAUCGACGUGGGGGAAGAU